rnacentral:lncRNA from 1 species
GGGCAGCCCCGCCGCGGGCCGCUCCUGGCGCGUUCACAGGCAGCAGCUCGGGCCGCUCGCGCUGGCGCCGGGUCCCAGGGCGACCUGGAGCAAGGUGAGAGCAGCAGGCAGCCUUCACUCCAGCGGGGACGGAGGACAGCAAACGCAGAACUUUCAAGUGAAUAUUUCUGUCUUCUGUCAUGCACCUGUGGACGUCCUGUACAUACACAAUGACAUCAAACCGUAGCUGGAAAUCUGAUUCUCUUGGUAUAAUGAACAAUGAUUAGUUAGAAGCAUGUAAAACCACAAACUGUGAGUAAUAAAGAACAAGUUCCAUACA